rnacentral:rRNA from 1 species
CAAGUCGAACGAGAAAGUGGAGCAAUCCAUGAGUACAGUGGCGUACGGGUGAGUAACACGUGGGUGAUCUACCUCUUAGUGAGGAAUAACCCUGGGAAACCGGGGCUAAUACCGCAUAAGCCUGAGAAGGGAAAGCAGCAAUGCGCUGAGAGAGGAGCCCGCGGCCGAUUAGCUAGUUGGUGAGGUAAGAGCCCACCAAGGCAUAGAUCGGUAGCCGGCCUGAGAGGGCACACGGCCACACUGGCACUGAAACACGGGCCAGACUCCUACGGGAGGCAGCAGUGGGGAAUCUUGCACAAUGGGGGCAACCCUGAUGCAGCGACGCCGCGUGAGCGAUGAAGCCCUUCGGGGUGUAAAGCUCUUUCGGCAGGGAAGAUAGUGACGGUACCUGCAGAAGCAGCUGCGGCUAACUACGUGCCAGCAGCCGCGGUAAUACGUAGGCAGCAAGCGUUGUUCGGAGUUACUGGGCGUAAAGGGUGUGUAGGCGGUUCUUUAAGUUUGGUGUGAAAUCUCCCGGCUCAACCGGGAGGGUGCGCCGAAUACUGAGGGACUAGAGUGUGGGAGAGGAAAGUGGAAUUCCUGGUGUAGCGGUGAAAUGCGUAGAUAUCAGGAGGAACACCGGUGGUGUAGACGGCUUUCUGGACCAUAACUGACGCUGAGACACGAAAGCGUGGGUAGCAAACAGGAUUAGAUACCCUGGUAGUCCACGCCCUAAACGAUGCAUAUUUGGUGUGGGUCAUUCAGUUGAUCCGUGCCGGAGCUAACGCGUUAAAUAUGCCGCCUGGGGAGUACAGUCGCAAGGCUGAAACUCAAAGGAAUUGACGGGGGCCCGCACAAGCGGUGGAGCAUGUGGUUCAAUUCGACGCAACGCGAAGAACCUUACCUGGGCUCGAACGGCUUCUCAACGCCGGUAGAAAUACCGGUACCCC